rnacentral:rRNA from 1 species
GUCCACGCCGUAAACGAUGAAUGCUAGGUGUUGGAGGUAUUCACCCCUUCAGUGCCGAAGUUAACGCAUUAAGCAUUCCGCCUGGGGAGUACGGCCGCAAGGUUAAAACUCAAAGGAAUUGACGGGGGCCCGCACAAGCGGUGGAGUAUGUGGUUUAAUUCGACGCAACGCGCAGAACCUUACCCGGCCUUGACAGCUUAGGAAGACUGGUGAAAGCCAGUUGUGCCCCCUCAAAAGGGACCUAAGAACAGGUGCUGCAUGGCUGUCGU